rnacentral:tRNA from 1 species
GCCUGGGUGGCUCAGUUGAUUGAGCAUCCGACUUCGGCUCAGGUCAUGAUCUUGCAGUUUGUGGGUUCGAGCCCUGCAUCAGGCU